AAGACAAACUGAUAAAUGGUCAAGAAAAAGUUUUAAAAUAUUGACAUAAAAAAGCUGUUUUUCUCCCACUAGAUUGCCAUGACUUUGUACUUAUAAAGUCUACUAAAUUAUAUUCAAAAAGUGUGUAUAACUGUACCAUUUUCGUUAAAAUAUUGUGUAGAAAAAAGUUUGGGGGAAUAUAUAACAAAUAAUUAACUGUAGAUCCCUCUGGGUGUAAAGAUUACAGGAGGCUUUCACUUUGAGCACUCUCAAAUAGUGUGAAGUUUGGAGUUUUUACAAUAAGCAUUAUGUGUGCAGAAAAAAUUAAAAUACAUAAACGUAAAGAAACAUGAAAAAAUGAUCAGUCUUAAUCAUGCAAAUUAAAACUGCAGUGAGCUAUUUUUCCUAUAAUUAUUGCCUGAGACUGUACAGUGAAAUGUUUUCUCAUUUAUUUAUCGGGUAAGGGUGUUCAAUCCUUUUGGAAAGCGAUUUUAAGACAUUUAUCAGAUCUUAAUGUUCAUUUCUGAGUUUGGCUUAUAUAUAAGCUUUAAAGGGUUAAAAUUGUAUGUAGGCUGGGUGAGGUGGCUCAUGCCUGUAAUCCCAGCACUUUGGGAGGCCGAGGCGGGUGGAUCACCUGAGGUGGGGAGUUUGAGACUGCCUGACCAACAUGGAGAAACCCCGUCUCUACUAAAAAUACAAAAUUAGCUGGGUGUGGUGGUGGGCGCCUGUAAUCCCAGCUACUCGGGAGGCUGAGGCAGGAGAAUCAUUUGAACCCUGGAGGUGGAGGUUGCGGUGGGCUGAAAUCGCGUCACUGCACUCCAGCCUGGGCAACAAGAAUGAAACUCCCUCUCAAAAAAAAAAAAUUCUAUGUAAUGUGUAUUACAACUAUGUAAAACGCAUGUGUAUGAAGAAUACUGGAAAGAAAUAGAGCAAAAAUAUAAGAGCCUUUAUUAAGUUUCUCAAAAGGCUCUUCUGGACCUCUGGACUUGAUUGAGUACACAGUCUUAUUUUUCAUAGCAGCCUGUACCUCCUUUAUCACAAUCAUAAUUAAUUAUUAUUUGAGUAAAUUGUUAAGGUCGGUAAGGGUAGCAAUCGUGUCUGCUGUAUCUUGUUUAGUGUUCUCUCCUUCGUGCCUAGCUCAUAAAAAUAUUUAGUAUUUGAGGCCCGGAGCAGUGGCUCAGGGCAGGGCAGGACAGUGGCCACAGCAUUGCCACGUGUUUCUGUGGCACUAAAGCUGCCCUGUGCCCAUGAUUCUUGCAGCUAGAACGAGUAAAAGGGCCAUAGAAGACCUGGCUGGCUACCCUCUACCCUGCGGUGUGCCCUACCAGAAAAAGGUUGGCUGCUAGAGGUUGAGAUCUGGCUACCUCAAAGCCAAAGGAAGUAAAGGAGACAGGAAUUACUGUAUUGGGAGUUUAGAGACCUGGUUCCAGCUCUGUCAGUCAAGAAUUGACAGACUUGGCAAAGUCCCUUAACCACUCUCAGUCUCAGUUUUCUAAUCUGUAAAUUGGUGUUGAUAGUGUGAGACCUGCCUGUCUCACAGGAUUGAUAUAAGAAUCAAACAAACUAUAGUCAUGUUCCAAAGUCAUCAUGGCUUGGUAAGCUCCUUUCAGUCAUCCCACAUAGAAAGGGCACAAACUACUUACGUUUUCAUUCAUUGAAUCUUCGUAUUGCGCCGGUGAGGUAUGACAGACCAGAAACUGGUCCAGAGAGGCUAAGCAUGGGGGUCAUGCAGUAAAUGGUCAGGUAGGGUCAAAUACUUUAUGUGGGUUAGGAAGAGUUCCUAACUCAGGCAGAUUGGUUCAUCAAGCACCCAGCAGUCAUUUACAACCUGCCUAAUUGGUUGGGGGAUGGGAUUGAGUUCAGACUGGAAGAAUACCAGAGGUGUAAAACAUCCACCCUGUGAAAAAGCUAGACAGGUUGAGGGGCAAACCUGGCCUCCCCACUCAUCCAGAGGUGGCCCUGCAGGCAGGCACUUGCUGGUAGAUACAACCUGCCAGGUACCUUGAGGUGAGUCAGGAAGAGUGUGGCGGCCUCCCCAACCACUGCCUCUGCUCGGCUGAGGGCAGCUCUCUGUGGAUUUGCAAAUUUCCCCCUCAUAAGUUUCUCAGAGGGACAGUAUCUUGUGGCCCUUUGCAAAAGGAACAAGCCUUACCUUUAGGUAAC
rnacentral:lncRNA from 10 species